GCGGGAUUAACUCAGUGGUAGAGUGCAACCUUGCCAAGGUUGAAGUCGUGAGUUCGAAUCUCAUAUCCCGCUCCA
rnacentral:tRNA from 1 species